ensembl:lncRNA
AAAAACAGUAACAAUUUGAUUGCAGCAAAUGGUCUGAAAUGCAUUAGACAUUAAUGGAAGACUAAAUGUAUUUAUUUUUAUUGUCAUCAGUUUAAUGUAGCCUAUAUAUUUUUUUCAUUUUGCUUGCAGGGAUAAUUUUAAAGCUCAAACUGACUUCCUACACUGCAAGUCCAUGUUCUCUCUAGGGAAGCUCGUUUUAAAUUCUGAGCAGUGAGCACGCUGUAAAAUGUGCUUUUACUUGUUUAUUAUUUUAGGAUAUUAUUCUGUAGCUAGUUAGCAACAUAUCUACGACAAAAAAAUGGCUAAUCUGAACAAGCUAGUAGUGUAGCUUGAGUCAACUUGAUUAAGGAAGUAGUCGUCACGUGUUAUCAAAGUGCAUUAUGGGGUUGGCGGGCGAAGUUGACUUCCUUUCCGUCCUUUUCGGACCAGGCUUCGGUAGCAUCAUCGGCUCAGACCGUUUUCAAGUUGUACGCAGAGUUCCAGCGGAUUACGAAUCGAAACCUGCUCAACACAUUCUAUGCUGAGCUUGACCGGCAUCAAAAACUGGCAAGACAGCAGAUGCUCUAAUUUAAAUUUUAAAAAUCCACGAUGAACAGGAAAUCAAUGACAUCCACACCAAGCGCACUACUGUUCUCCACGCCUUUCCUGUGUAUCUGUGCGAGGAUUUUUCAGAACCUGCACAGUGGACUCCAAUCAAGUUGGAGAAACAUCUCAAGGAUGAUCAGUGGAAACAAGAGGCACCGGAGCAAAAUUUUGAGUGUCAUGGCAAAUGCUGUGAAUACUUAUGUACAUGUUAUGUUUUCGUUCUUUAUUUUUAACAGAUUUGCCAAAUCUGCAAAAAACAGUUUUCACUUUGUAAUUAUGGGUUGUUGUGUGUAGAAUGUUGAGUGAAAUAAAGAAUUUUGUACUGAAAAAUAUUACGACACAAUCAACUCAUUACAGCUAGAGCUGUGAAAAGUUGACGUCAGCCACGCUGGCAACGGGAAGUGACG